ensembl:snRNA U6 U6 spliceosomal RNA
GUGUUUGCUUCUGCAGCACAUAUACUAAAAGUUGGAAUGAUACAGAGAAGAUUAGCAUGGUCCCUGCGCAAGGAUGACACACAAAUGCAUGAAACACUCCAUAUAAAA